AUCAGAAAAACACAUCAUGAAAACUACCUAUCAGAUCUAAAAAUUUAAGACCUAUCAGAUGUAGAGUGUCUGUUCAUAUUGUGAUGGAUGGGCUUUCAUGGGAAAAAAUGACCAACUGCUGUAAGACCCUCAGAAGUUUUUUGCGUAUAAUUGCAUGUGUCAGAUGAAAAUAAAACCAAAAUAACACCCCUAAGAUGUAUGAAUUUUACACCCUUCAGAAAGGAACACCAAUCCCCCUUUAGCAGACAUUAACUGGAAUGGCCCAUUGUGGUCUUGAAGUUAUAAAGGAAAACAAAAUAAGAUUUAUAAAAUUUUAUGAAUUUUAUUUAUCUACCUG
rnacentral:lncRNA from 1 species